rnacentral:rRNA from 1 species
AUUGAACGCUGGCGGCAGGCCUAACACAUGCAAGUCGAGCGAGCGGCGGACGGGUGAGCAAUGUCUGGGAAUCUGACUGAUGGAGGGGGAUAACUACCGGAAACGGUAGCUAAUACCGUAUACCAUCAGAUGUGCCCAGAUGGGAUUAGCUAGUAGGAGGGGUAUUGGCUCACCUAGGCGACGAUCCCUAGCUGGUCUGAGAGGAUGACCAGCCACACUGGAACGGAGACACGGUCCAGACUCCUACGGGAGGCAGCAGUGGGGAAUAUUGCACAAUGGGCGAAAGCCUGAUGCAGCCAUGCCGCGUGUGUGAAGAAGGCCUUCGGGUUGUAAAGCACUUUCAGCGAGGAGGCGUUACUCGCAGAAGAAGCACCGGCUAACUCCGUGCCAGCAGCCGCGGUAAUAC